rnacentral:rRNA from 1 species
UACGUAGGGACCAAGCGUUGUUCGGAUUUACUGGGCGUAAAGGGCGCGUAGGCGGCAAUUCAAGUCAUCUGUGAAAUCUCCGGGCUUAACUCGGAACGGUCAGAUGAUACUGCUUUGCUAGAGUGCGGAAGGGGCAAUCGGAAUUCUCAGUGUAGCGGUGAAAUGCGUAGAUAUCUGGAGGAACACCGGUGGCGAAGGCGACAUCCUGGACCGGCAUUGACGCUGAGGCGCGAAAGCCAGGG